UACGUAGGGUGCAAGCGUUAAUCGGAAUUACUGGGCGUAAAGCGUGCGCAGGCGGUUUUGUAAGUCUGUCGUGAAAUCCCCGGGCUCAACCUGGGAAUUGCGAUGGAGACUGCAAGGCUGGAGUCUGGCAGAGGGGGGUAGAAUUCCACGUGUAGCAGUGAAAUGCGUAGAGAUGUGGAGGAACGACCGAUGGCGAAGGCAGCCCCCUGGGUCAAGACUGACGCUCAUGCACGAAAGGCGUGGGGAG
rnacentral:rRNA from 1 species